AAGGUUCCCGUCUUCAGUGCAGGUUGCAGGCGGGAACCGGCCUCGUCCCAGCCCUGGGCCUGGGAGAGAGAAGGAGGCCGAAGAAAACCAACUUCGGCAACCUCCGGAGACAGGACGUUUAAAAAAGGCUAACUUGGCUGGGCGCUGAGGCUCACGCCUGUAAUCCCAGCACUUUGGGAGGCCGAGGCAGGAGGAUCACUUGAGCUCAGGAACCAGCCUGGGCAACAUGGCGAGACCCCAUGUCUACAAAAAAAAAAAAAAAAAAAUUAGCCAGUCAUGGUGGUGCGCGCCUGCAGUCCCAGCUACCCCGGAGGCCGACGCGGGAGGAUCGCUGGAGCCGAAAGGUCGAGGCUGCCGUGAGCCGAGGUUGCACCACUGCACUCCAGCCUGGGCGACAGCGCAAGACCCUGUCUAAAAAUAAAUUUAAAAAAAAUUGCGAGGCCUUCAUUCUAUGCUAGUACUGUACUAGGUGCUAAUUAUUAAGUAAAACCGACUGAACUCUUGCCCUCAUGGAGCUUACAGUUCAGUGGAGAAGACAUUACCUAAAGCAGUAUGACUAAAUAUAUAAUGACAUAUUGUAAUAACUUACAUAACAGUACAAUGAGAGGGUGGGGAGGGAUUAUUUAUGCUUUAAGAAGUCGGGAAUCCUGGAACGGAAUGACAUUAGACUGAGACACGGAAGAGCCGCAGGAUCUAUUGCUGGGGAAGAGCAUUCCAGACAGGGAGGAACUCGUGCCGAAUGAUCCCGCUGUGGACAGGGAAUUUAAUCUGAGCUUCGGUUUCCUCUUCUGUCAAAUGUCAUGCAAGAGUUACUUUCAGCCGUGGUCCAGGCACUGUGAAAAAUGCAGAAGCCACACUAGGUGCCCUCUCUCAGGAUUCCCAACCACCUUUACCAAGCAGAGAUGGUAUUCAUCCCACAUUUUUAAUGCUAGAUAUGCUCCCGCCCGGUGCUUCUCUAAUAAUGUUUUUUAAAAGGUUGAGAGCAGAAUUUUAAUAGGCAAAAGAAAGAGAAGAGCUCUCUGCUGCAGACAGGAGUCCUGGAGAAAUGGGUUGCCCUCUUUUUUCUUUUUCUUUUUUUGAGACAGUCUCUCACUGUCACCCAGGCUGGAAUUCAGUGGCGCAUUCGUACCUCGCUGCAGCCUCAACCUCCUAGGCUCAAUCGAUCCUCCCACCUCAGCCUCCCGAGUAGCUGGGACUAUAGAUAUUUAACCAUUUUUCUAUUGAGAUUUGGUCUUCUCCACCACCCACCACAGAUUUUUGUAAUUAGAGGUCAUUUUUCCAAACAAAUGAUUCUUAAGGUCCUGCUGUCUCUGAAUAUUAUUUUUAUAGAACAAGCAUAAGUAUAAUUGGAUCAAUCAUCUAACCUUUCAGAUCCUCAACUUAGUCUUCCAUUAAUGAGAGGAUUAAAUCCAUUAGUUAAAUGUUCUCUAAGAAUCAGUGUGUCUCCAACUUCAGUGUACAAACAGCGGGUCACCCAGGGAUCGCAGUGGGACGCAGACGCUGAUUCCGCAGUUGUGGACUUGGUGGAGGUGGGCGCUGUCUCAGUCCAUCUGGGCCGCUAUACAGAGUGCCACAGACAGAGUGGCUUACGGACAACAGAUGCUCAUUUCUCACUCUCUGGAGACUGGAAGCCCAAGAUCAAGGUGGCAGAAAAUGCCGUGUCUGAAGAGGAACUGUUUCCUUGUUCACAGCCUCUUCUCACUGUGUCCUUGCAGAAGGGCUGAGGGAGCUCUCCAGGGGCCUCCUUCAUAAGGGCACUCAUGCCAUCGUGGGACUCCACUCUCACGACCUCAUCACCACCCAAAGACCAUCACUUUGGGGGUUAGGAUUUAACAUGUGCACUUUGGGGGGACACACACAUUCAGUCCACAGCAGCUCCAAUAUGUUGCAUUUCUAAUUAGCUCACAGGCAAUGCUGAUGAUACUGGUCCAGGGACCACACUUCGAGUAGCAACAAACCAGAUAGCCACAAAGAGGAAUUAAUAGAUGUAGCAUUAAGGAAGAAAGAUUCCUUCCAGUGCCAAGGAAACUCAUCACAGUACCUCCAAUACCGUGUCAUCCUGGAGGGACCACAAGACCCUGGAUAGUUGGCCCAGGACAGAAUACUGCUGGGGGUUUGGAGGGUGGCAGUUAAAAAGCCAAGAUCUGUUUACCUGUUAAAAUAUAUAUUCUUGCCCUCUCCCUCUCCCUCUCCCUCUCCCUCUCCCCACGGUCUCCCUCUCCCUCUCUUUCCAUGGUCUCCCUCUGAUGCCUAGCCGAAGCUGGACUGUACUGCUGCCAUCUCGGCUCACUGCAACCCCCCUGCCUGAUUCUCCUGCCUCAGCCUGCCGAGCGCCUGCGAUUGCAGGCACGCACCGCCACGCCUGACUGGUUUUUGUAUUUUUUUGGUGGAGACGGGGUUUCGCUCUGUUGGCCGGGCUGGUCUCCAGCUCCUAGCCGCGAGUGAUCCGCCAGCCUCGGCCUCCCGAGGUGCCGGGAUUGCAGACGGAGUCUCGUUCACUCAGUGCUCAAUGGUGCCCAGGCUGGAGUGCAGUGGCGUGAUCUCGGCUCGCUACAACCACCUCCCAGCCGCCUGCCUUGGCCUCCCAAAGAGCCGAGAUUGCAGCCUCUGCCCGGCCACCACCCCGUCUGGGAAGUGAGGAGCGUCUCUGCUUGGCCGCCCAUCGUCUGCGAUGUGAGGAGCCCCUCUGCCUGGCUGCCCAGUCUGGAAAGUGAGGAGCAUCUCUGCCCGGCCACCAUCCCAUCUAGGAAGUGAGGAGCGCCUCUUCCCCGCCAUCCAGCCCAUCUAGGAAGUGAGGAGCGUCUCUGCCCAGCCGCCCAUCGUCUGAGAUGUGGGGAGCACCUCUGCCCCGCCGCCCCAUCUGGGAUGUGAGGAGCGCCUCUGCCCGGCCGCGACCCCGUCUGGGAGGUGAGGAGCGUCUCUGCCCGGCCGCCCCGUCUGAGAAGUGAGGAGACCCUCUGCCUGGCAACCGCCCCGUCUGAGAAGUGAGGAGCCCCUCCGUCCGGCAGCCACCCAGUCUGGGAAGUGAGGAGCGUCUCCGCCCGGCCAGCCGCCCCGUCAGGGAGGGAGGUGGGGGGUCAGCCCCCCGCCCGGCCAGCCGCCCCUUCUGGGAGGUGAGGGGCGCCUCUGCCCGGCCGCCCCUACUGGGAAGUGAGGAGCCCCUCUGGCCGGCCACCACCCCGUCUGGGAGGUGUACCCAACAGCUCAUUGAGAACGGGCCAUGAUGACAAUGGCGGUUUUGUGGAAUAGAAAGGGGGGAAAUGUGGGGAAAAGAUUGAGAAAUCGGAUGGUUGCCAUGUCUGUGUAGAAAGAAGUAGACAUGGGAGACUUUUCAUUUUGUUCUGUACUAAGAAAAAUUCUUCUGCCUUGGGAUCCUGUUGAUCUGUGACCUUACCCCCAACCCUGUGCUCCCUGAAACAUGUGCUGUGUCCACUCAGGGUUAAAUGGAUUAAGGGCGGUGCAAGAUGUGCUUUGUUAAACAGAUGCUUGAAGGCAGCAGGCUCGUUAAGGGUCAUCACCACUCCCUAAUCUCAAGUACCCAGGGACACAAACACUGGGGAAGGCCGCAGGGCCCUCUGCCUAGGAAAACCAGAGACCCUUGUUCACUUGUUUGUCUGCUGACCUUCCCUCCACUAUUGUCCUGUGACCCUGCCAAAUCCCCCUCUGCGAGAAACACCCAAGAAUGAUCAAUAAAAAAAUAAAUAAAUAAAUAAAAACAUUUAAAGAAAAAAA